GAACCUUCCACCAAGAGAACAGAGAAGGGAAGGAAGCGUGUUCCUCACUCCACGCUCCCCACAGCAGUCCAGUCUGCCCUGAUGAGUUUGCUUGGAGCUGUCGUAGAGGCCAGGUGGCUCCUCUGAAAUAGACCCCCUGCUGGAAGCCUCCUGGAAGCUCUAGCUACACCGUCUGCUUAGUGGCAAGGGAGAGCCAAGCAGACCCUCUUCUCAAAGCAGCCUGACCCAGAAACCUGAGCCAUCCUCCAGAGGCUCUGAAGAAUGGGAACUGUGUGGUCAAGACCAUCUUUGGGAACAUAAAUGGGAGAAAGCACAAGGUACCACAGCCUCAUGAACCCCGGGGAACAGAUGACGACAAAGCCUGUGGCCAGCAAACAAUCUGUGUGGUGAGUCUUAACCACAAAGCCUCGUCGGCGCUCAUCCUAAGCCAAGCUCUUGUCCAAGCUAGUCCUAAAAACCUCAACUUGUCAACACUACACAGAGAAAAUGCCCAAGUCCUAAGUGUGCAUCUCGAUGGCUGUCAAUAAACAAAUGUCAAGGCCC